rnacentral:rRNA from 1 species
AGUGAACGCUGGCGGUAGGCCUAACACAUGCAAGUCGAACGGCAGCACAGUAAGAGCUUGCUCUUACGGGUGGCGAGUGGCGGACGGGUGAGGAAUACAUCGGAAUCUACUUUUUCGUGGGGGAUAACGUAGGGAAACUUACGCUAAUACCGCAUACGACCUACGGGUGAAAGCAGGGGAUCUUCGGACCUUGCGCGAUUGAAUGAGCCGAUGUCGGAUUAGCUAGUUGGCGGGGUAAAGGCCCACCAAGGCGACGAUCCGUAGCUGGUCUGAGAGGAUGAUCAGCCACACUGGAACUGAGACACGGUCCAGACACCUACGGGAGGCAGCAGUGGGGAAUAUUGGACAAUGGGCGAAAGCCUGAUCCAGCCAUACCGCGUGGGUGAAGAAGGACUUCGGGUUGUAAAGCCCUUUUGUUGGGAAAGAAAAGCAGCAGGUUAAUACCGCGCUGUUCUGACGGUACCCAAAGAAUAAGCACCGGCUAACUUCGUG